CUUGAGUUAAAUAUGAGGUUGUAUGUAAAAUAAUGAUGUUAUAUUUGAGAAUGAAUUUUUAUUAGAACAAAUUACAAAUAAAAAUAUUACGUGCUUUGUGUUUCGGCACGUAAGAAAAAUAUUGAUGGACUAAUGAUAUAAUGACACUUGAUUGAUUCAGGAGUUGUGUCUGGAGCUGGUUAUCAGACAGGAGGAGCUGGGUCAUCCCGAGCAGAAGGUACACCGCGAGGUGAUGCAGAUCGUUACAUGUAGGAAUACUCCUGUUUAUGAAUUACUAUUUUGGAAUGUAAUAUUCAUGUCUUUACUUUGAGUGUAAAUCCUUUUGUGUUGUAAAAAUUAAGUAGAAGGUGUAAUAUGUAGUGGAUGUAUUAUAUAUAUGUAUAGUUGUUAGUAUGACCAAAUCAUUUUCAAAAUGAUAAGAUAAGAUUUAUUAUAAAUAUAAUAUGACUCUUAAUCUUAA